GAUGAAAGUCCACUAAAUAUUUAUUUGACCAUUGGGCUUUUUUAUUUAAAUAUACCUGAGGGAUGGUCCACACCUGUAUUUCUCAAAUUCCCACAAAUAGAAAAUAACAUAAAUUAUGCCUAAUAUAGAAAUUGGUUCACAUAUCACCCACCUUACUUAAAAUCUAAUAUCCCAGCCCUCCCCCUUUUUCAGGUAGUAACAUGAAUUUGAAAGCCCU
rnacentral:lncRNA from 1 species